CAUUCCCUCCGGUCAAGCACGACAAUCUAAUUUUAUCAAAUUCUACGAACGCGUUCAGUUUAUUUUCACAAAAAAUGAAUUCAGGUAAACAACCGAGUCUGGGAUAACAUUAAGAAAUUGAUGACUUUGACAGGGAGUCAACUCAGUCCAAACCAAAAAGUAAGAGGACCAGUACUACUAAAACAAGUUCUUCCCUUAAUAGAAACCUUAUUAACCAUUGAAUUCUUGUAUACUUUAAUUCAUAUCUAAUUUAUUCUUUUUAACUUUAUUUUAUAUAAUAAAUAUUUAUUCCUUUUGUAUUGACUUGCUAGUUAUAC
rnacentral:lncRNA from 1 species